AUUGAACGCUGGCGGAAUGCUUUACACAUGCAAGUCGAACGGCAGCACGGGAGCUUGCUCCUGGUGGCGAGUGGCGAACGGGUGAGUAAUGCGUCGGAACGUGCCGAGUAAUGGGGGAUAACGCAGCGAAAGUUGUGCUAAUACCGCAUACGCCCUGAGGGGGAAAGUGGGGGAUCGCAAGACCUCACGUUAUUCGAGCGGCCGACGUCUGAUUGGCUAGUUGGUGGGGUAAAAGGCCUACCAAGGCGACGAUCAGUAGCGGGUCUGAGAGGAUGAUCCGCCACACUGGGACUGAGACACGGCCCAGACUCCUACGGGAGGCAGCAGUGGGGAAUUUUGGACAAUGGGGGCAACCCUGAUCCAGCCAUUCCGCGUGAGUGAAGAAGGCCUCGGUUGUAAGGUAC
rnacentral:rRNA from 1 species